ensembl:lncRNA
UGUGAUUAUAAAGGCCUUAAAUUCUGUGAUAUAUACUGUAAAUGAUUUUCACAGAGGUCUUAAAGUACUUAAAUCACUGCUGAUAGUCUGGUUGUUUAUAUUUUCACAUGUUUUUGUGUCUGUAGGGCUGUUUGAUGACGAUUUGGACUCCUCUGGGAGAUGAGGACACACCCACAUCUGUUCCAUACUGCAGCCAUUGAUGGUGUUACAGCUCUGAGUCAGCUUUGGGCCAUCAGACGCACACACUGGAAAACCAGCACCUGGACUUCAUGCAGGAGAGACGGCCUCAGUGAUAAUUCAUCAGCAGCUGUGGAGAGAUGCAUUUGAAUAUCUUCUGGUUCCACUUUUCCUUACCUGGAAGCUGAGUAUUGCUGAUUUCUGACAAGGACACACACCUCAGCGCUUAUCAUGGGUGUUACAUCCUCUGUGCAGCAAUUCCAGAGAAAACGAGAGAGCAACGACCACUCAUUAAGACCAGCCAGAAAUCUGUCCCUUUCUGGCAGCUGUGGAAACUUCCAAUAAGAAAGUUUGCAUUCUUAGAACAAUGCUGGAUCAUGUGUGAUGUGUCAUCAUAUGAGGAUAUUGCAUUUUGCCUUAAUUCUGCUCAAUUAAGUGUUUUGAUCGUUGAUCCAGUAUGGCAGCUUUGUGUUGUGCUGCAAGUUAAAACCCAUUGUCCUCAUGAGCACAGCAUCCAACAACUCUCCUUGAAAAAAGUCGAUUGACUUUAACUGGACACAAUGGUUU